rnacentral:rRNA from 1 species
CAUGUCUAUAUGAUUGUUAUAUAAAGUCUAGCCUGCCCACUGAUUUGUUUUAAAGGGCCGCGGUAUAUUGACCGUGCGAAGGUAGCAUAAUCAUUAGUCUUUUAAUUGGAGGCUUGUAUGAAUGGUUGGACAAAAAGUAAGCUGUCUCGGUUAUAAUAAUUGAACUUAACUUUUAAGUGAAAAGGCUUAAAUGUUUCAGGGGGACGAUAAGACCCUAUAAAGCUUGACAAUAAUUUCGUUAUAUUAUAAAUUGUUAGUAUAACUUGAUUUUAACGGGAGUUUGUUUCGUUGGGGCGACGGGAAUAUAAUAAAUAACUGUUCUUUUAAAUAUAAUUACAAAUACUUGGUAAACAAUUGAUCCUCUAUUAGAGAUUAAAAGAUUAAGUUACUUUAGGGAUAACAGCGUAAUCUUCUUUGAGAGUCCACAUCGACAAGAAGGUUUGCGACCUCGAUGUUGAAUUAAGGUAUCCUUAUAAUGCAGCAGUUAUAAAGGAGGGUCUGUUCGACCUUUAAAUCCUUACAUGAUCUGAG